ACAGGGUCUUAGUGAUAUAGUUAGAAUCUGGCUAGAGAUGCUGGCAGCCAACAUAACAGGCACACGGGAUAGCUUUACGAUCCAAGGGGCCACCAUUUAGAUGCUGCUGUGUAAAUUUGUUUGGUUUGACCCAUAAAAUAUAACAUAGUAAGAAUAAACAAUGAUUUGGUUUGGUCAGGCACAAGAUUGCCGCAAAGAUACGGCUCAAAUUAUAUGUAAAUUGUUUAUUGUUAAUCUAGAGGGGGAAAUUAUUUUAGAAACGUAGGAUAUAUUAAUAAUGACAUAUUUGGGAACAUGGUACUGCCAGUAGUAAAUGCAUAGGGGGAGGGUUGGUAGCUGGUUGUAACACUGUCAAUAAAUAAUUUACUUGGGGAAGUCUUAACAAGCUGCUGAUAGAGUGUCGACAACAUAACAAGGAGAGAAGUUGUGGAUCUCACAGCACAACUGCUCUUAAAUGCAGUUACUCCUCUUACACACAAAUGUUUCAUUACCAGGGUUUCAAUAGUACACAUGUUAUCCAGGGAUGUUUAUAGAGGCCAUUUCUGUCAUAAUUAGAUGUCGACCUCUAAUAAGGCAAGAUGUGUUUGACUGAUGUGUUUGGAUCUAUUUAAACACCACCUCAACCUCACUGUCACAUAAAAGGGCAAAAUAGAUGGUUUACCUCAAA